GAUGAACGCUGGCGGCGUGCCUAAUACAUGCAAGUCGAGCGAACGGACGAUAAGCUUGCUUCUCUGAUGUUAGCGGCGGACGGGUGAGUAACACGUGGAUAACCUACCUAUAAGACUGGGAUAACUUCGGGAAACCGGAGCUAAUACCAGAUCAUAUUUUGAACCGCAUGGUUCAAAAGUGAAAGACGGUCUUGCUGUCACUUAUAGAUGGAUCCGCGCUGCAUUAGCUAGUUGGUAAGGUAACGGCUUACCAAGGCGACGAUGCAUAGCCGACCUGAGAGGAUGAUCGGCCACACUGGAACUGAGACACGGUCCAGACUCCUACGGGAGGCAGCAGUAGGGAAUCUUGCGCAAUGGGCGAAAGCCUGACGGAGCCACGCCGCGUGAGUGAUGAAGGUCUUCGGGUCGUAAAACUCUGUUAUUAGGGAAGAACAGAUGUGUAAGUAAAUGUGCCCAUCUUGACGGUACCUAAAGAGAAAGCCACGGCUAACUACGUG
rnacentral:rRNA from 1 species